GAUGAACGCUGGCGGCGUGCCUAAUACAUGCAAGUCGAGCGAACAGACGAGGAGCUUGCUCCUCUGAUGUUAGCGGCGGACGGGUGAGUAACACGUGGAUAACCUACCUAUAAGACUGGGAUAACUUCGGGAAACCGGAGCUAAUACCGGAUAAUAUAUUGAACCGCAUGGUUCAAUAGUGAAAGACGGUUUUGCUGUCACUUAUAGAUGGAUCCGCGCUGCAUUAGCUAGUUGGUAAGGUAACGGCUUACCAAGGCAACGAUGCAUAGCCGACCUGAGAGGGUGAUCGGCCCCACUGGAACUGAGACACGGUCCAGACUCCUACGGGAGGCAGCAGUAGGGAAUCUUCCGCAAUGGGCGAAAGCCUGACGGAGCAACGCCGCGUGAGUGAUGAAGGUCUUCGGAUCGUAAAACUCUGUUAUUAGGGAAGAACAAAUGUGUAAGUAACUGUGCACGUCUUGACGGUACCUAAUCAGAAAGCCACGGCUAACUACGUG
rnacentral:rRNA from 1 species